UGCUAGGCCGACGGGAGGACAAGACGGUCCUGGGAACCCAAGAUCCAGGAGGGGCGGGGGAGGACUGAGACUUGAAAACUGAGGCCCCACGAAGAAUUCUCCCAGGCCAGUUCUGCUAAAAGGCGUUUAUAAAGAUGCUCAGAAUUAAGGACUCUGAAAAUGGGCUCCUGCACCCACAAUCUGGCUGGCUGCACUACACAGCUCUCUUACACAUUUCAGAGAACUUUGUUGUACUGAGGCCAACAAGAAGCUCCCUAUAGACAGGUAAAUAGGGGAGAGGCGACACAGAACAAGGAUCUUUGUUACAGAUCUCAGAGGCUCGGAGAGAGGUGUGUACACAGUCACAAGUGAGUACGCAGGGAAAUGCCGUGAAGAUAACGAAGUAAGGCCCAGGCCAGGUUACAAAAAAGAGAGAGACAAUAACACUCCCAGGUACUCAGCCCCUCACUCGGAGCCCGGCCCACUGGCCCAGCCCCCCAUUUCCGGAGCCUGCGCCCCGGGACCUGGCAGGGACUGGUCCCCGGGGAGGCCUAGUUCUCACUUCUUUCCCGCCCCUGGCUUACGACCGCGGGGCUCCAAGGCUACCUGGAGCCAGGGGCUGCGAAGAGAGGAGGACACCCACCUGGUCGGAGUCACAUGCUGCCUCGGGCCGGCCCGAGAGUCCCCUCCAGGUCCCGGCGCCCGCCGCGGUCCCCAGCCAGGCCAGGCCGCCCCGGCGCCCCACCCGCGGCCCGCCCCUGCCGCCGGACGGGAGGGAGGGACCGGCUUCUCCUAAGGAAGUUUCAGGAACACUAUGACCCACAACGCCAAACAGCUUCGGGUAGUCGGUUCCCUGAUCACUGUGUCAGCCGGUUGCUCCAUGGAUCCUGGCAGAAAGAAGCUAAGCAGUUGUGUGGAAGACCCUGUGGAAUAAAACUUGACUGAGGAAAAUUAGCCUCCUCUCUGAUAGUCCUGAAGCAAUGCUGUGUUCAAAAAAAUGUCCCAGUUCUGCCAUGCUCCUUUGAAGGAUGAAAUUUUAAACAGUUUAGCUGGCUUUGACACACUCUCAAUUGUCCUGAAGUAUACAGGAAGUAACAGGAAAUGCCAAGCCUAGGAUUCAGCCAUAUAAGGGCAGGCCAGCAUGCUUCAUAAACCCAGCAAAGGCGUAAGAACAAGGAGUGAAGCGAGUCAGAAAAUUAAAGCUGGUUGAAAAGUUUAAACUCCUUCUAGACUGGGAGAGAGAACUCUAGCAGUCUGAAGGUCCUGACCUCUCAUUGGUCAACAGGUUUUGUCAAAUGCAGUUUAGGAUCAGCCACUGUGGAUAGGGAGGGGGAUGGCAUGCAUUUUGUUGCCCUUGGCUCGUGUUCCCUGUUUUCUCUCCCUCUGGGUCUCACACAGGAACCUCCUCCUGUUUGCUGAUUCUGAGCUGGCAGUAUUUUUGUUCUGUAAAUGUCUACCCAUGUUUCUCUGCUUUGCAACUCCUUUACCAAGUUAAACCGGAGAAUGAAUGCCGACCUGGCUUUCCCUCUGGUAGUACGGUGUAGAAAAGUUGAACCGGCCUUUUAGGAACUUUUCUUCUCUUCCUGAGCCAGCCCCUAUCUUCAGGGUACCCUGAUUACAAGACCAGUUUAGCCCUCCUCACCGUGUAGACUGAGUUUCAUAAUUUAUGUUUUUCUUUUACCUUUCUUGGUGCCAAGAAUUUGGAGUGAGGGUUGUCAUUCUGUCCUGAGAAAAGAGAUGCUUUGGGGGGCUCAUAUUGCCUCUAAAAUUCUUAGAUUAGAGAGAGAAUGAUCAGUGGCAAGAGGGUGAGGUAUAUAGGUUCAGACAGAUGCAGACCUGUACACUUGAAUUUUUCCUCUGCCACUUAUUUAACAAGAACAUGUGGGGAUGUUAACUUUCUGGUACUCACUUCAAUGUUUCUAUGCAUUGUUUCUUGCUGUCAUUAACAACAGCACCUCACUGGGUUGCUGUGCCAAUUCAAGAAGGGAUAAAGAGAAAUCACUUUUACAAGCACGCUGUAUGGGAAGGUGCUGGAUAUGGGUUAUUUUCCUUCUCUAAUUUCUAAGGGGCCCUGACAGUUAUGCAUAUGAAAUGAAUUUAUAAUAACAAGAUGAGAGGAAAAUGGGUUCAGAAUAAAGUUAUUUUUAGAUGAGAGCUGUAUUUGGUACAGAAGAAUAAACACAGGCUCUGGAGUUGGAGGUCAGUGCAGUCAGAGAAAGUGCUCUGAGAUCCAGCUAGGAGUGAGGCUAGGAACAAGGAACUUCCUUACGUAGUUCUAGAUAGGAAGGCUAAAUUGUUUUGCAGUAGGAAUGCACUAGCCUUAACUCUGCAGCUGCCAUCAUUUUGAAGACAUUCACCUGGUUUUCCCUGCUCUCAGGAGGGCGGCUCUGUCCCCUGCCCACCCUGUGCCAGCUCUUUGAAUGCUGCUCCUUCACUCCUGCCACUGCUUUUGGCCUGUUCAUGUAGCCCACCUUUAAAUACUUCGGACUUAAUUUGAGAGAACUUAAUAGAACACUUAUUAACAUGGGUGACAUGUGAUCCCUUCAUCUCUGCCCACCCUGACUUGACCACUAUGGCUCUUAGCUAUUUGUUAAUAGUUUGAUGAACGUAUAUUUUCUUUUCUGCAUUUUGGUUUCUGCUUUUGUUUUCUCAACCUUCCCACACUGGCAUGUACUCAACUUAGUGCUAGCCAAGGUAUAUGUACUAAUUAACACCUUCAUUUUCCCCAUCAUCAUUUGCUCUGUAUGUAUUCGCAGACACCAGGUAUACAAAGGCCAGGCUUCUGUGCUCCUUGGCACAUCAAAGUAAAAGACAACAGAUGAUGAGAGCCAACUGUGGCAGGUAUUGUGCUUCGAGCAUCACAAUGGGUGCAUAAAGGAGAGCAAACUCCACUGCUGGGGGGAGCAGAGGUGACCUAGCAGGUGACAGUGUUUCACUAGAGGUGUUAUAGAAAGCGAUUCUUUUAAAGGAAGAUACAGCAAAGGCAGAUGAACAUGGGGAACAGACAUACUACUGGAGAAGCCUGAGUAUCUUCUCAUCAGGGAAGUGCAUGUAGUACAGAUUUAGCUAGAGGAAUGGUGACAUAACGGAGAAUGUUUGGGAAUGGUUGUCAGGCAACCCCAUCAAGGAAGGCCUGUGGCCAUGCAUUCUACUGAAUUUAGAUGCUGUUCUCUGGAGAUGGGCCUCCAAAGGACUGUGAGCAAGGUCACGAGAUGAUCAGAUUAGAAGUCAAGAAAAAUCCACUCUUGUUGGAAUGUGGAGAAUAGAUUGGAGUAGGUUCUGAAAUGGAGAUACAGAGAAGCCCAUUUAAUGGGUGUGGUGGACCAUUUGCUGUGCAUUACAGUCUGUAGGUGAAGCAGAUGACACCCUGAGACAAUGCUGGAGGAAGGGCAAGCAAGAGAGGAAAUGGAAUUAAGGGUCAGGAUGACUGCUUCUUGAAGGUAAAUAAUAAAUUCAGAACUGAAAAGUUGACUCUGGAAAAAAUAAGAUAGCUUGCUCACAUGUAAAUGAAUGCGGUAGAAUGGCAGAACCCAAGUACAGCCACACACUUUCAGCCAGAUAUUGUUUUAUAAAAGUUGUCAGAAAUUGGUUGGGAAAAAAGAGCCUCUUCAGCGCACUAUGCUGAGCCAAGUGAAUAUCCACAUGUAGAAGAAUGAAAGUCGGUCUCAUUCUUUCACCCUGUACAAAAGUUAAUUGAACACUGGAUUAAAGACCUUAAUGUAAGGCUGAAACUGAAUCUUCUAGAAGAAAAUAAGGGUGAAGCAAGUGGAGGUACAGUCAGUGGACUCCAGCAAAUGAUUCCGGUAGCAUGGGAAAUCAUUCCGAGAAUUUACAAAUGAGAUUACAAAAAAAGAGUGUUUCUUCUACAAAGGAAACAACCACCAAAUCGAAAGAGAACUAUAGGAUUGGAAAGAUACAUACAAUUGGCCAAUUGUAUGUCAUACAAGGAAUACUGUGAAGAUUAAACCCCCAAUACCAAAUCAUUCAGUUAGCUGAAUAGGACAGUCUCAAAAGAAGGAUUACAAAUAGCUGGUAAAUAUUUUAAAAAGUGUUGGACAUCCUUCACCCUCAGGGAAAUGCUGGUUAAAACUCCUUUGAGAUGCCAUGUGACUGCAGAAUGGCUGUCAUCAAGAAGAGACAGCAACAGUGCUGGGCACGAAUGUGGGAAAAGUAGAAAUCUCAUAUAUUGUUGGUAAAACUGCUACAAAUAUCAGUAUGGAGGCUUCUUAUAAAACUAAAAAUGGCUAUCAUGUGACCCAGUAGGGCUUCCGGACAUACAACGGCAGGUCUGACAGAUAAUAUGCCACAGAGGUGUUUACAGACCUGUGUUUUCUGCUACAUCCAUCACAGUAGCUUAAAAAAAUAGAGCUAGCCUAGAUGUCCAUCCAGAAGUCCAUGGAUGAGGCUGGAGAGAUGACUCAGUCUUUCAGAACCCUGGAUGCUCUUCCAGAGGGCUUGGGUACAAUUCUGGAACUCUAGUGCCAGGGGAUUCAGUAUCUUUUGGCCUCCAAAUGCCCCAAGCUUGCAUGUGUUCCUUAGACAUACAUGUAUUUUUUAAAUGAAUAUAGAAUAUAUAUGUAUAUGUAUAUAUAUACUAGAAUUGUAUUCAAUUAUAAAGAAAAUGAAAUUAUGUCAUUUUAAGUAAAAUGAAUGGAACCGGAGCUUGUGUUAAACAGGAUAAGUCAGACUCAGAAAGACAAAUACUACUGCAUGUUCUCUCUCCUAUGCAGCAUCCAGAUUUCAAUUUGUGUGUGGUGGGGGAACCAUGGCAG